UUUGCCUACGGGACGCAGCAGUGAGGAAUAUUGGUCAAUGGCCGGAAGGCUGAACCAGCCAAGCCGCGUGAAGGACGAAGGUGCCAAGCAUUGUAAACUUCUUUUGUCAAGGGACAAAAUCAGGCUCGAGAGCCUGACCGAGGGUACUUGAAGAAAAAGCAUCGGCUAACUCCGUGCCAGCAGCCGCGGUAAUACGUAGGGAGCAAGCGUUGUCCGGAUUUACUGGGUGUAAAGGGUGCGUAGGCGGCCUUGCAAGUCAGAAGUGAAAUCCAUGGGCUUAACCCGUGAACUGCUUUUGAAACUGU
rnacentral:rRNA from 1 species